GCCUGAGAAUGUUCAGCUCCCAAAAUGCCAAAUUUUCACUGUUCCACUGGGACCUGUUGCAAAACUGGUGAAAAACAAGACUGACAGCACUGGACAUCAAGCCAUUGACCACUACUCUCUGAGCACAACCAUCCAGGCAACUUUGAUUGAUUAUUUGAAGCACAGAAUACUGAAAAGCUGGUAAGAACAUCCUCACAUGGCAUUUCCGAGUCAUUUUUAGACUGGGAAAAAGUGAAAUAAAGAUGAUAAGAUCUACUGUCAGCACUGUCAAGGAUGAAAGUCUAACCACGUUCCAACAAGCUUCUUCAUUUUGAUAGUUCUGUGGCAUCAGAAUGCUUUUCUCAACCAAACUCUGAACUGUGCACAGUGCAACCUGCCAUCUGAUGAGCAAAAAGGGAGGAUGUAAAUGCAUACUACAUUUUAUUCUGUUUGUAAUUAAGGUGACAUUUUAUGGUGAGUGAGACUAAUUUUCUCCAAAGACAUUAGAUAUGGGAAACACAGCUGACAAUUUAAUGUAGGAGGAAAAUAAAAUCGGCACAUUAGAGGCAGGCUGGAGAGAUUCUGAUGAACUGGUGUCUUUAUCCAGUGUGGCGACAGUGAGGACAUGUAACUACAUAAACCACCACCCUGUUCUUGUGGGCAGAUGCUCCCUACUAAGACAGGUUAGAGAUACAAUUUACCACUGUCUCAAAACAGUAUUUUGUGACCCAAAAGGGUUGCACAUGCCAUGGACUUGCAGCCCAAGUAUGCUACCUAGAGCUGGGUGCAUAUGUUUUUGCCCUUUCCGGCUUUUUUCACAGUUUGCAAGUAGAAUCAUUAAUUAAAUAAGUAACUUUCCUUCUCCAUCAGUGCAGCCUGGUCUUGCUCUAAUGCAUCCUACACUACAGCAGUGAAUGGGCUGAAAUGCUGAAUCUGAGUGUCCUUCACAUGAUUCCUUCUACUACUGCAAGUGACAAUGACAGGAUGUUUUAGAUCCAUCAGCUACACUACACUCAGCUGUUGUUUUUCCUUUUCCUUUUUUUAAAAAAAAUUAAGAUUUUUCAUGGAAGAACAAAUUGUGUCAUUCACAAGUAUAAUCUCUCCCACAAGGAACCACUUUGAACAAUGGAGAUACAAUGAGCGCUGUAGUUAUAUAAACUGCAAACAAUCUGAUCACAUCACAUCAUUAGAUAAAGCAAUUAAGGCUAAAUGACAAAGAGUUAGGUACAGGUGCAUAUACCUCAUCAUCUACUGAGUGUAACUUUUCCAGAGUUGUUCAGGACGUUCACUUCCUGCCUCACACUUCUUGCACCCUUUUUGUUACAUCAACUCCAGAACAAGCUCUAAGUCACCCUCUACAGGAUCUGUCAAGAUUAAAGAUCAACACAAGAUAAUCACACAGAGAUUUACCCACCUCCUUGGUUGGAUUUUGCUGUGAGCUGGGAACUUGGAGUGGACACAGCAGUGCUGUUAUUUGGACCCAAUUAUAUAAUUUCAAUUAAAUUAAAUUUAAUUCAAGCUAGAGUAGGUGUGUCAAUGCAUGCCAUCUCCACACCUUGACUGUGUAUUUUAGAGUUAUCCUCAACUCUAAUAUGGUCUUUUAAGGAAUGUUCUAUUCCUAACAGGCCCAAAUAUGUGUCCACAUCUCUCUAUCAGCCAUUAGGGUAUCCAUUGUCUUCACAUACAUGCUUGUUUUCCAAGGAGACUGACAAACCAUAAGUAAAGAACAGAAGCUCCAGCCCAUUUAGAGAUACUAAAUUUGAUGCUACCCAUCUGUUUGCUAGGCAAGAAGCAGGUUCUGUGGGUUAUUUACAGUCCACGAGGAGGUAAGAUUUGCUGAGAUCUACCCACCUGGGACAGGCAUUAUUUUUACCUGAAAAUGGUGGAACAAUGUCAGGCAGAGAAGCAUUAGCACAGCUGAAGGGCUAAGUGGUUCAGUUAUCAGGAUCAGAGGUUGCAGGAAGUCCCAAGGGCAGGAAUAUACUCAAGAGAAAGCCUGCUGGAAAAUGUUGAAGGGAUAUUUCAUGCUGUACAACCAGCACUUUACGGGAGGGCAAGAAAACAGAAAAAGCUUGGCACAGGACUCAGCUUUGGGAAGCUAUUGGAAGAAAAAACUUUAAUUUGAAGUUUUUUCAGCGGGAGUAACUAGCUACAAAACUGAGGAGCAGAAGUUCCUUGCAGUGAGAUGAGCGUCGUAGGAGUCUGUUUCUAAAUAUAGUGACUAUUUCGCUAGGGCUUGCAUUGCAAUAAAGUCAGUGCGUUUUGUUUGGUUGGGA